rnacentral:lncRNA from 1 species
UCUGCUGUGGGUGUUCCUGAUCUUUGAGCCAUGAUAAUGUUACUGGUUGGAUGUCAGGAGCAGGCCAUGUGGAUGAUUAAAAGAUGAAUAUCAUAUACAGCAUGGAUAUGUUGGACAAAAAGAUGAUUCACAUCCCAGACAGAAUGGAGCAGUCUUUCCAGCCAAGAGGAAAGGUGAGCAGAUGCUUCUAUAGAACUCAGUGCUGCAGCCAGUGGGAGUGUUCAGACCAAAAGCAAGAGCCACUCUGCCGUUCUUCCACCUGUUGUGUCUGCUUUUUUCAACAUCAGGCCUGUCUUGCUGCCAGCCCCAGUGAAAAUCCAGCUGACUCUCAACUUUAUCAUCAUUGGCCAUCUUGAGUCAUCAAUUGGUUUACUGUAGCUGAUAUGCCUACACUUCCUUCAUUUGAACCCAGGUUGAAUCAUAAAUAUUUCAUUUACUUUAAAGGAUUCCAAAGUGUGUGUAUAAUAUCAGAUUUUAAUUUUUUCCCCACUGCAAGGUGUUAGAGCAGAAAUAUUAUAAUACUGAAUUAGAGUUCUGAGAAAGCACGG